GACGAACGCUGGCGGCGUGGAUUAGGCAUGCAAGUCGGACGGUAGGGCUUUAUCGUAAGAUAGAGUUUGAGAGUGGCGAACGGGUGAGUAACACGUAGGAAUCUACCCUUAAGACGGGGACAACCCAGGGAAACUUGGGCUAAUACCGGAUGAGAGUGCGAGAGAUUGCAUUUAAAAGGAUGGCGAAAGUUGUCGCUUAGGGAUGAGCCUGCGGUCUAUUAGUUAGUUGGUGAGGUAAGAGCUCACCAAGGCGAUGAUAGAUAGGCGGCCUUAACGGGUGGUCGCCCACACUGGGAUUGAGAUACGGCCCAGACUCCUACGGGAGGCAGCAGUCGAGAAUAGUCUACAAUGGCCGGAAGGCUGAUAGUGCGACGCCGCGUGAACGAGGGAGCCCUUCGGGUGUAAAGUUCUUUUCUAUACGAGCAGUGCUAUAUAUAUUGGAUAGUAUAUAUAGAGGGAUAGUAGUAUAGGAAUAAGCAACGGCUAACUCCGUGCCAGCAGCCG
rnacentral:rRNA from 1 species